UUUAAAAUCCCUUCCAGUUUAUAAAGUCUGAUCUAUUCUACCAUUUUACAUGUUUUCAUAGCAAAGAUCAAAUUCUGGGAGUUUACAUUUCUGAAACUUGGGUCAAGGUCCUGACCAAUCCUCAAAAGAGCAACUGUGUGGACAUCUGUGGCAAUGUCAGAUUCACUGAAUCCCAAGACAAGGAGCUCUUUGAUAAUGGGCUAGAGGAAAGGGUGAAAGAAUGGUUUAGAACUAAUUCAAGAAAGAACAAUCUGAUUCCCACUUGGAGGAGGACGCAGGAGCUGAAUCAGAUGGGGCUGCGGUGCCUGGGGAGGAGGAAAUUGUGAGUACUUGCUCUUGAUUAUCAUUAUCCUCCUGUUGUCUAGGAAGAUGACUGUUAUAAUUAGCCACAAAUGUCAUGGGCAACUAUAAUUUACCUUUUCCUGUAACA
rnacentral:lncRNA from 1 species